rnacentral:tRNA from 1 species
GGACCGGUAGCUCAGUUGGUCAGAGCAGCAAACUCAUAAUUUGAAGGUCAAGAGUUCAAUUCUCUUCCGGUCCAC